AGUGAACGCUGGCGGUAGGCCUAACACAUGCCAGUCGAACGGCAGCACAGUAAGAGCUUGCUCUUACGGGUGGCGAGUGGCGGACGGGUGAGGAAUACAUCGGAAUCUACUUUUUCGUGGGGGAUAACGUAGGGAAACUUACGCUAAUACCGCAUACGACCUACGGGUGAAAGCAGGGGAUCUUCGGACCUUGCGCGAUUGAAUGAGCCGAUGUCGGAUUAGCUAGUUGGCGGGGUAAAGGCCCACCAAGGCGACGAUCCGUAGCUGGUCUGAGAGGAUGAUCCGCCACCAUGGAACUGAGAACCGGUCCCGGCUCCUAAGGGAGGCAAGAGGUGGGAAUAUUGGACAAUGGGCGCAAGCCUGAUCCAGCCAUACCGCGUGGGUGAAGAAGGCCUUCGGGUUGUAAAGCCCUUUCGUUGGGAAAGAAAAGCAGCAGGUUAAUACCCCGCUGUUCUGACGGUACCCAAAGAAUAAGCACCGGCUAACUUCGUG
rnacentral:rRNA from 1 species